rnacentral:rRNA from 1 species
AUUGCACGCUGGCGGCAGGCCUAACACAUGCAAGUCGAACGAGUGGCGGACGGGUGAGUAAUGUCUGGGAAACUGCCCGAUGGAGGGGGAUAACUACUGGAAACGGUAGCUAAUACCGCAUACCAUCUGAUGUGCCCAGAUGGGAUUAGCUAGUAGUUGGGGUCACGGCUCACCUAGGCGACGAUCCCUAGCUGGUCUGAGAGGAUGACCAGCCACACGGGAACUUAGCCACGGUCCAGCCUCCUACGGGAGGCAGCAGUGGGGAAUAUUGCACAAUUGGCGCAAGCCUGAUGCAGCCAUGCCGCGUGUAUGAAGAAGGCCUUCGGGUUGUAAAGUACUUUCAGCGAGGAGGCGUUACUCGCAGAAGAAGCACCGGCUAACUCCGUGCCAGCCGCCGCGGUAAUAC